rnacentral:rRNA from 1 species
GCCAACGUUCAUAUCACGUUGAAUACACCAGUUCUCGUCCGAUCACUGAAGUUAAGCAACGUUGAGCGUGGAUAGUACUUGGCC